rnacentral:rRNA from 1 species
AACGAACGCUGGCGGCAUGCCUAACACAUGCAAGUCGAACGAACCCUUCGGGUCUAGGGGCGCCCGGCUGCGUAACGCGUGGGAAGCUGCCCUUAGGUUCGGCAUAACUCCACGACAGGGAUGAUAAUACGGGAUAAUGUCUUCGGACCAAAGAUUUAUUGCCCUUGGAUGGGCCAUCGUUGGAUUCGCUAGUUCGGAGGGUAAAAGCCUACCAAGGCGACGAUCAAUAACUGGUCUGUGAGGAUGAUCAGCAACUCUUGGACUGAGACACGGCCCAGACUCCUACGGGAGGCAGCAGUGGGGAAUGUUGCACAAUGGGCGAAAGCCUGAUGCAGCUAUGCCGCGUGAGUGAUGAAGUCCUUAGGGUUGUAAAGCUCUUUUACCCGGGAUGAUAAUGACAGUACCGGGAGAAUAAGCCCCGGCUAACUCCGUG